GCGGCGCCAUUUUGCAGGCGGCUGUCGCGGGUACCGGAGGCGGCGGCGGGCACUGCGGAGCCGAGAGGCGGCGGCAGGACCGGAGCCCGGCGAGCUGUAGCCAGCUAGGUCUUGACUCCACUAACCAGGACUCCAUGCGGUUUUGAGGUUGGACUUCAGCAGCACAAGGAAAUGUAGCUGGGCAGCUUGUAGUGGAAAGCGGAUGGACAGGUCUGCAUCACACCAUUUAGGUGCGUCUGAAACAUGAUCUUUGUUCUGCAUUUUGUGCUGAUGGUCCUUAAGUGGCAGACCUCAUUCGUACUUGACUUUGCCCUUUGCAGAUUUCAGCAAAGGUCUGAAGGCAAUACUGGGAAUACUUGUUAGGUUAAUGCUAAUGAUAAGGUAAUGAAUUUCUUCAAGGCCAAAUUUCACAUAAGUAGAUUAAACUAGAAAACUAACAGGUACGGUCUUGCCACUUAUACUAAUUACAAGGUAGGAGGUGAAUAUUUUCAUUUUCCUUUAUGUGCUUUUGCAUUUUUUAUCCACGAGCAUUUGAGUACCUAUUUCUGUUGGGGUUCUUGGUCAGGGUCACAUAUGUGAAGCCUGGGGGUAAAGAUGUGGAAGACCUGUUCCUUCAAUUUCAUCAAUUUAAGUAUUGAGACUAAGCACAAAUAGUUAAGUAUUGAGACUAAGCACAAAUAUGUUACUAAGGAACAUUCCUUUUUUUUUUUUUUUUUUAAACUUUUUUUUCUACCAUCUCCUGCAUCCCAAAGCUUGAUGGGUAUUUUGGUUAUUUAAAACUUUUUGCUGUUACAAAUAAUAUAGCAGUGAAAUUUCUUGUACAUACUUUGGAGAGAAUACCCCAUAAGUAAAAUUUCUAGCAAUUAAAUUGUUUGGCAUAGUGCAUAAGAUUUUCCAGUUUUUAAAUUUUGAUAGAUACUGGCAAAUUGAGAAUUUAGAAGCUGCAAGAACUUAAACUCUUGGAGUCCCCACUGUGGUGCAGCGGAAGUGAAUCUGACUAGUAACCAUGAAGUUGAAGGUUCCAUCCGUGGACUUGCUCAGGGGGCUAAGGAUUAGGCGCUGCCAUGAGCUGUGGCAUAGGUCGAAGAUAAAGCUCAGAUCCUGCGUUGCUGUGGCAUAGGCUGGUGGCUAUAGCUCCAAUUCAACCCCUAGCCUGGGAACUGCCACGUGCCAAGGGUGUGGCCCUAAAAAGCAAAAGCAAAAAAAAAAAAAAAAAAAAAUUAGAAAAAGAAUUUAUACUCUUACAGAUAAAACAUUCUCUCACCUUUUUAGUCAAAACUAAAUUUAUUCGGUAUGGUGGAUGUAAAAUUAUGGUAUUUUUAUUUAUUUACUUUUAUAAGUAAAUUCACUAGGUGUACAGUUAUAAGAACUUUCAAAAAUGUCGAGGGGAUUGAUCAUUUUAAAACAUUUUUCAUUUUCUAAUAUAAGUCUGUGCUUGCUAUUUAAAAAUUAAAUAAGACUUGGGAAAGAACAAAAAUUAGGAAGAAGAAAAUCUCCUUGCUCCUCUACUUAAUGACACCAUUGUGAACAUUUUUGUGUAUGGCUUUCAUUUUUUUAGUUUUCUUUGUGUAGUUUUUUCCCUUAAGCCAUCAUCAUUAAAUUGUAUGUGUUUUGUCAUUGUUGUUGUUGUUAAUGGCCAGACCUGCAGCCUG
rnacentral:lncRNA from 1 species